UUGCUCCCAAAAGCCUAGUGGCGGACGGGUGAGUAACGCGUGAGCAACCUGCCUCUCAGAGGGGAAUAACGUUUGGAAACGAACGCUAAUACCGCAUAACAUUGUUUUGUCGCAUGGCAGAGCAAUCAAAGGAGCAAUCCGCUGAGAGACGGGCUCGCGUCCGAUUAGCUAGAUGGCGGGGUAGAGGCCCACCAUGGCGACGAUCGGUAGCCGGACUGAGAGGUUGAACGGCCACAUUGGGACUGAGACACGGCCCAGACUCC
rnacentral:rRNA from 1 species